rnacentral:rRNA from 1 species
UGCAAGUCGAGCGGAUGAAGAGAGCUUGCUCUCUGAUUCAGCGGCGGACGGGUGAGUAAUGCCUAGGAAUCUGCCUGAUAGUGGGGGACAACGUUUCGAAAGGAACGCUAAUACCGCAUACGUCCUACGGGAGAAAGCAGGGGACCUUCGGGCCUUGCGCUAUCAGAUGAGCCUAGGUCGGAUUAGCUAGUUGGUGAGGUAACGGCUCACCAAGGCGACGAUCCGUAACUGGUCUGAGAGGAUGAUCAGUCACACUGGAACUGAGACACGGUCCAGACUCCUACGGGAGGCAGCAGUGGGGAAUAUUGGACAAUGGGCGAAAGCCUGAUCCAGCCAUGCCGCGUGUGUGAAGAAGGUCUUCGGAUUGUAAAGCACUUUAAGUUGGGAGGAAGGGCAUUAACCUAAUACGUUAGUGUUUUGACGUUACCGACAGAAUAAGCACCGGCUAACUUCGUGCCAGCAGCCGCGGUAAUACGAAGGGUGCAAGCGUUAAUCGGAAUUACUGGGCGUAAAGCGCGCGUAGGUGGUUUGUUAAGUUGAAUGUGAAAGCCCCGGGCUCAACCUGGGAACUGCAUCCAAAACUGGCAAGCUAGAGUAUGGCAGAGGGUGGUGGAAUUUCCUGUGUAGCGGUGAAAUGCGUAGAUAUAGGAAGGAACACCAGUGGCGAAGGCGACCACCUGGGCUAAUACUGACACUGAGGUGCGAAAGCGUGGGGAGCAAACAGGAUUAGAUACCCUGGUAGUCCACGCCGUAAACGAUGUCGACUAGCCNUUGGGAUCCUUGAGAUCUUAGUGGCGCAGCUAACGCAUUAAGUCGACCGCCUGGGGAGUACGGCCGCAAGGUUAANNUCAG